rnacentral:rRNA from 1 species
AUUGAACGCUGGCGGCAGGCCUAACACAUGCAAGUCGAACGAGUGGCGGACGUGUUAGUAAUGCCUGUGAAUCUUCCUUAUGGAUGGCGUUAACUACGGGGAACUAUAACUAAUACCGCCUACCAUAGGCUGAGCCCAAGUGGGAUUAGGUAGUUGGUGGGGUAAAGGCUCACAAAGCCGACGAUCUCUAGCUGGUCUGAGAGGAUGACAAGUCACACUGGGACUGAGACACGGCCCAGACUCAUACGGGAGGCAGCAGUGGGGAAGAUUGCGCAAUGGGGGAAACCUGACGCAGCCAUGCCGCGUGAAUGAAGAAGGCCUUCGGGUUGUAAAGUACUUUAGGUAGGGAGGCGUUAACUACAGAAGAAGCACCGGCUAACUCCGUGCCAGCAGCCGCGGUAAUAC